UUUUCCCGCUGAAAAAGCCUUC
rnacentral:miRNA from 2 species